AACGAACGCUGGCGGCAGGCCUAACACAUGCAAGUCGAACGGGAUCUUCGGAUCUAGUGGCGGACGGGUGGGUAACGCGUGGGAACGUGCCCUUUGGUUCGGAAUAGCCCCGGGAAACUGGGAGUAAUACCGGAUAAGCCCUGCGGGGGAAAGAUUUAUCGCCAAAGGAUCGGCCCGCGUUGGAUUAGGUAGUUGGUGAGGUAAUGGCUCACCAAGCCGACGAUCCAUAGCUGGUUUGAGAGGAUGAUCAGCCACACUGGGACUGCGACACGGCCCAGACUCCUACGGGAGGCAGCAGUGGGGAAUCUUAGACAAUGGGGGAAACCCUGAUCUAGCCAUGCCGCGUGAUCGAUGAAGGCCUUAGGGUUGUAAAGAUCUUUCAGUGGGGAAGAUAAUGACUGUACCCACAGAAGAAGCCCCGGCUAACUACGUGCCAGCAGCCGCGGUAA
rnacentral:rRNA from 1 species